ACUUCACAUCAUCAUCAUCACACCAGUCCAGGCUAGAGACAGACACCAGCCCACCCGCGACCCUGAAUGGAUUAGCAGGUAUAGAAAAUAGAUGGAUGAAAAAAAAAAGAGAAGUGUCCCAAAAGCAAGGGCCGACUGCAACCAGUGUUACCAGGUUCAGCAGAAAUAUUUAUGGCUAUCAUUUUCCCGCAGUUUAAGGCUAAAUUAAACCAAACAUUUAGCUUGAGUUUAGCUUCUGUUUUUGCUGAGCCCAGACAGAAAGCUUCCUGUUUUGGAUCUAAUGAACCUGUUCGUUAGGCGUAGGUCCUGUAGGAGAAAUGCAUGUGAGCUCUAAACUAGCAGGACCCGUUAACUGCUCUGGAUGUUGAAGUCAAGUUAGCAAAAGGACAAAUGUGACCUAUGUCUCUAAGUGUUCCCAAGCUGGAAUACCUUAGCCUGGCCAGCCAGACUGAGCUACGCCAUUAACUCAGCAAUUCAGUCUGUCAAGCAGCCGGUAGUGCCCCAUUUCAAAGGCGAGACUAACGGGGUCAUCAGAAACAGGUUAGAACCAAUCAGAUAGCUGCGGAUGUGGGGCAGCGCAAUCUGUUUUAGCCCUUAAAGUAGCCAGACUGACGAGCUGUGUACUGAACAUGGUGUGAGUCUGACUGGCCAGGCUGGGAAUAUCCUGCUGCUACACAUAAGACAGGCUUCCUCCAUGAUGGUGUCACAAUUCUGUAGGCAGCGCUGGCAGCGAUGUCUGUUCUCUACUCUUUUUCCCUCACAGUUCGCUUCGCGCCUUGGAUUACUCACUGGUUGCUUCUCCUAGCGCUGAAGACAGAUUCCUGAAUCCCCGCCACUCAGAUCCUGCUCUGGCAUUCCCCUUGAGCCCCCCCUGGUAUUACCAAGAUGGACAAGAGUUUCCCUUCCCUGGAUUCACCCAGGUUCCUUCGGCUGCUCUCUGUUCCCUGCUACCUGCUGUGGUGCUGCUCGGGCUCCCCACCUCUGUUCCACCUGCCAGCUCACCUGUCACUCGGUCACCUAGUUCCUCCAAGAGUAAGAGUUCCACUGAAUCCGUUCUUCCACUCCACUCUACUCGGAUAGGUUACCCAUACUUGGUGGUGGAAUGAAAUCAAACAAGCCUCUGUGAUCCCCGGAUGGUAAGGAAAUGCGGCCCUUGGCCCACUGACCCCGUCACUGCUCAGCAGGAACCACAGACACUGCAACUGCCCCACAUUCAUCGACGUUGACUGAAGGCAGAAACGAAGGUGUCUGGAGAGCUCCCGGCCUGAGGGAGGCGGAGGAUGAGGUGCUUCUGAACCCACUGCCAGUGCAGAGACAGCACAGAGACGCCCCCAGAGUCAGCUUGAAGCCUGAUGCUCACGUCCCAGAAAUGAUCGCGCCAGCGGAGCAGCUGCAGGAUCUGAUGAGCAGCAGGAAAACCGCAGUGUCAAGCUCUUCGCCAGGUUGGAGAGCCAGCUGCCACGUAGGAUCCAAUCCCCAUGGGAUGCCCUCUCCGUCACCAGCCUCACUGCUGUGGGGAUGAGCCUGAGAGCGUCUCCUUCCUCCAUGUCCUCCACUCCUCCAGAAAACACACAGUCCGCGUGGACUCCGCUGCUCUGCAAGGCCUGCUGCAGGUCCCUCAGUCUCAUUGGACGACUCCUGCACAAACCCAGCGAGUCUCAUCACAACUGUCACACUCAAGGAGACCAGAAACAGACUCUACCUUGGCGGCCUGUCCGGGUGAAUUGAGACCCGCCCAGGAAGAACCCCCCACCCUCCCAAAAAAUAAAAUAAAAAAAUAAAAUAUAUGCAGCAAUCACCAUCAGCAGUCAUGCAACUACAGCCAGAGUUUAAUCUGGUGUUUCAGAGCUAAGCUAAGGGAGUUGAGGCAGAACAGGAGGACCUGCCCGUCUCUCAGAACAGAGGAGAAGCAGGAGUCUUCUGUGGUGAGAAGAGCUGAGGGGAAGGCGUCAGGCCAGACCCCGGCACACAGCAGUCCAUUACCCCAAUCCCCUGCAUCCUGGAAGGCCAAGUGCUGCUCAAUCACCUGCUGGGAUUGCUGGAAGAGAAGAGCAGCUUUUAGAUCUUAAACAACUACCUUGUUCCAUGACCUCCAAUCCAAAACCAUUCUUUAAAAGUCAGAAAUAACAUCUUGGUGCUUUGCAGUGUCUAGCCUCUCUUAUCCUGAUAUGUAGCGUGCUAUAAUAAACACUUGUCUGCUUA